rnacentral:rRNA from 1 species
GAUGAACGCUAGCGAUAGGCCUAACACAUGCAAGUCGAGGGGCAUCACAUGAAGUAGCAAUACGGAUGGUGGCGACCGGCGCACGGGUGAGUAACACGUAUGCAACCUGCCUUCAACAAGGGGAUAACCCGUUGAAAGACGGACUAAUACCCUAUAACACAGGGGUCCCGCAUGGGAAUAUUUGUUAAAGGACAACCGGUUGAAGAUGGGCAUGCGUUCCAUUAGCUAGUUGGCGGGGUAACGGCCCACCAAGGCAACGAUGGAUAGGGGAACUGAGAGGUUUAUCCCCCACACUGGUACUGAGACACGGACCAGACUCCUACGGGAGCAGCAGUGAGGAAUAUUGGUCAAUGGACGCAAGUCUGAACCAGCCACGUCGCGUGAAGGAAGACGGCCCUACGGGUUGUAAACUUCUUUUAUACGGGAAUAAAGUGCCCCACGCGUGGGGUUUUGCAUGUACCGUAUGAAUAAGGAUCGGCUAACUCCGUGCCAGCAGCCGCGGUAA